rnacentral:rRNA from 1 species
GAUGAACGCUGACGGCAUGCCUAAUACAUGCAAGUCGAACGAGAGGAAGGAAAGCUUGCUUUUCUGAAUCUAGUGGCGAACGGGUGAGUAACACGUAGGUAACCUGCCCAUGUGCCCGGGAUAACUUCUGGAAACGGAUGCUAAAACCGGAUAGGUAGCAGACAAGCAUUUGACUGCUAUUAAAGUGGCUAAGGCCAUGAACAUGGAUGGACCUGCGGUGCAUUAGCUAGUUGGGGAGGUAACGGCCCACCAGGGCGACGAUGCAUAGCCGGCCGGGAGGGGCGGACGGCCACAUUGGGACUGAGACACGGCCCAAACUCCUACGGGAGGCAGCAGUAGGGAAUUUUCGUCAAUGGGGGGAACCCUGAACGAGCAAUGCCGCGUGAGUGAGGAAGGUCUUCGGAUCGUAAAGCUCUGUUGUAAGAGAAAAACGACAUUCAUAGGGAAUGAUGAGUGAGUGAUGGUAUCUUACCAGAAAGUCACGGCUAACUACGUGCCAGCAGCCGCCGUAAUAC